rnacentral:rRNA from 1 species
GGGGAAUCUUGCACAAUGGAGGAAACUCUGAUGCAGCGACGCCGCGUGAGCGAAGAAGCCUUUCGGGGUGUAAAGCUCUUACGCCAGGGACGAUAAUGACGGUACCUGGAGAAGCAGCUGCGGCUAACUACGUGCCAGCAGCCGCGGUAAUACGUAGGCAGCAAGCGUUGUUCGGAAUUACUGGGCGUAAAGGGUGCGUAGGCGGCGCUCUAAGUUUGGUGUGAAAUCUCCCGGCUUAACUGGGAGGGUGCACUGAAAACUGGGGCAAUCGAGUAUGGGAGAGGAAAGCGGAAUUCCUGGUGUAGCGGUGAAAUGAGUAGAGAUCAGGAGGAACACCUGCGGUGCAGACGGCUUUCUGGACCAUCACUGACGCUGAGGCACGAAAGCGUGGGUAGCAAACA